rnacentral:rRNA from 1 species
GACGAACGCUGGCGGCACGCCUAACACAUGCAAGUCGAACGGUGAAGAGGAGCUUGCUCCUCGGAUCAGUGGCGGACGGGUGAGUAACACGUGAGCAACCUGCCUUUCAGUGGGGGACAACAGUUGGAACGACUGCUAAUACCGCAUAACGUCAUUUGAGGGCAUCCUCGGAUGACCAAAGAUUUAUCGCUGAGAGAUGGGCUCGCGUCUGAUUAGAUAGUUGGUGAGGUAACGGCUCACCAAGUCGACGAUCAGUAGCCGGACUGAGAGGUUGAACGGCCACAUUGGGACUGAGACACGGCCCAGACUCCUACGGGAGGCAGCAGUGGGGGAUAUUGGGACAAUGGGGGAAACCCUGAUCCAGCGAUGCCGCGUGAGGGAAGAAGGGUCUUCGGAUUGUAAACCUCUGUGGACAGGGACGAUAAUGACGGUACCUGUCUAGAAAGCCACGGCUAACUACGUG